rnacentral:SRP_RNA from 1 species
UACUUAUGCCAUCGCAAUGAGGUGGAACGAACCAGGUCAGGACGGGAACGUAGCAGCCUUAAGUUUUUAUCUCAUGUGCGGUGGUUUCUUUAUUUCU